rnacentral:misc_RNA from 1 species
ACACGAGGGACAGCCAGGGAUCGCUCUAGGACAGUUACAGUCCUCUUCCCUUCCAUCCCGUUACAACCG